AGCAGCCGCGGUAAUUCCAGCUCCAAUAGCGUAUAUUAAAGUUGUUGCAGUUAAAAAGCUCGUAGUUGAAUUUCGGGAUCAAUUAAUUGGUCGUGCCUCUGGUACGUACUGAUUUUAUUGGUUUCUCCCUUCUGACGAACCAUGAUGUCAUUAAUUUGGUGUCGUGAAGAAUCAGGACUGUUACUUUGAAAAAAUUUAGAGUGUUUAAAGCAAGCUAACGCUUGAAUACAUUAGCAUGGAAUAAUGAAAUAGGACGUUUGAUCCUAUUUUGUUGGUUUCUAGGAUCGACGUAAUGAUUAAUAGGGAUAGUUGGGGGCAUUAGUAUUCAAUUGUCAGAGGUGAAAUUCUUGGAUUUAUUGAAGGCUAACUACUGCGAAAGCAUUUGCCAAGGAUGUUUUCAUUAAUCAAGAACGAAAGUUAGGGGAUCGAAGACGAUCAGAUACCGUCGUAGUCUUAACCAUAAAACUAUGCCGACUAGGGAUCGGAUGAUGUUAAUUUUUUAAUGACUCAUUCGGCGCCU
rnacentral:rRNA from 1 species